CCUACGGGUGGCAGCAGUGGGGAAUAUUGCACAAUGGGGGAAACCCUGAUGCAGCGACGCCGCGUGAGUGAAGAAGUAUUUCGGUACGUAAAGCUCUAUCAGCAGGGAAGAAAAUGACGGUACCUGACUAAGAAGCCCCGGCUAACUACGUGCCAGCAGCCGCGGUAAUACGUAGGGGGCAAGCGUUAUCCGGAUUUACUGGGUGUAAAGGGAGCGUAGACGGCAGUGCAAGUCUGGAGUGAAAUGCGAGGGCUCAACCAUCGGACUGCUUUGGAAACUGUGCGGCUAGAGUGCAGGAGAGGUAAGCGGAAUUCCUAGUGUAGCGGUGAAAUGCGUAGAUAUUAGGAGGAACACCAGUGGCGAAGGCGGCUUACUGGACUGUAACUGACGUUGAGGCUCGAAAGCGUGGGGAGCAAACAGGAUUAGAUACCCGAGUAGUC
rnacentral:rRNA from 1 species